rnacentral:rRNA from 1 species
AACGAACGCUGGCGGCAUGCCUAACACAUGCAAGUCGAACGAGACCUUCGGGUCUAGUGGCGCACGGGUGCGUAACGCGUGGGAACCUGCCCUUAGGUUCGGAAUAACUCCCCGAAAGGGGUGCCAAUACCGGAUAAUGUCUUCGGACCAAAGAUUUAUCGCCUUUGGAUGGGCCCGCGUUGGAUUAGCUAGUUGGUAGGGUAAAAGCCUACCAAGGCGACGAUCCAUAGCUGGUCUGAGAGGAUGAUCAGCCACACUGGGACUGAGACACGGCCCAGACUCCUACGGGAGGCAGCAGUGGGGAAUAUUGGACAAUGGGCGAAAGCCUGAUCCAGCAAUGCCGCGUGAGUGAUGAAGGCCUUAGGGUUGUAAAGCUCUUUUACCCGGGAUGAUAAUGACAGUACAGGGAGAAUAAGCUCCGGCUAACUCCGUG